GAUGAACGCUGGCGGCGUGCCUAAUACAUGCAAGUCGAGCGAACAGACGAGGAUCUUGCUCCUCUGACGUUAGCGGCGGACGGGUGAGUAACACGUGGAUAACCUACCUAUAAGACUGGGAUAACUUCGGGAAACCGGAUCUAAUACCGGAUAAUAUAUUGAACCGCAUGGUUCAAUAGUGAAAGACGGUUUUGCUGUCACGUAUAGAUGGAUCCGCGCCGGAUUAGCUAGUUGGUAAGGUAACGGCUUACCAAGGCGACGAUGCGUAGCCGACCUGAGAGGGUGAUCGGCCACACUGGAACUGAGACACGGUCCAGACUCCUACGGGAGGCAGCAGUAGGGAAUCUUCCGCAAUGGGCGAAAGCCUGACGGAGCAACGCCGCGUGAGUGAUGAAGGUCUUCGGAUCGUAAAACUCUGUUAUUAGGGAAGAACAAAUGUGUAAGUAACUAUGGACGUCUUGACGGUACCUAAACAGAAAGCAACGGCUAACUACGUG
rnacentral:rRNA from 1 species